rnacentral:rRNA from 1 species
CCUACGGGAGGCAGCAGUGGGGGAUAUUGCACAAUGGGGGGAACCCUGAUGCAGCGACGCCGCGUGGGUGAAGGAGUGCUUCGGCAUGUAAAGCCCUAUCGGCAGGGAAGAAGCAAGACGGUACCUGACUAAGAAGCCCCGGCUAACUACGUGCCAGCAGCCGCGGUAAUACGUAGGGGGCGAGCGUUAUCCGGAUUCACUGGGUGGAAAGGGAGCGUAGACGGCCAAGCAAGCCAGGGGGGAAAGCCCGGGGCCCAACCCCGGGACUGCCCUUGGAACUGCAUGGCUGGAGUGCGGGAGGGGCAGGCGGAAUGCCUGGUGUAGCGGUGAAAUGCGUAGAUAUCAGGAGGAACACCGGCGGCGAAGGCGGCCUGCUGGACCGCGACUGACGUUGAGGCUCGAAAGCGUGGGGAGCGAACAGGAUUAGAUACCCCAGUAGUC